GCAAUUGGGGGGGAGAUAACUGCAGUCGUGCGCCUCCAGCCAUGGUGGAGACGCGGCAUACGGCUCAGUAACACGUGGCUAACCCACCCUUGAGACGGGUAAAACCCCGGGAAACUGGGGUUAAUCUCCGAUAAGAGAAGACACCUGGAAUGGGUCUCCUCUCAAAGGGCGCCUAGACCAUGCUUCUGGGCGUUGCUCAAGGACGGGGCCGCGGCCGAUCAGGUUGUUGGUGAGGCAACGGCUCACCAAGCCUAUAACCGGUACGGGCCGUGAGAGCGGGAGCCCGGAGAUGGGCACUGAGACAAGGGCCCAGGCCCUACGGGGCGCAGCAGUUGCGAAAACUCCGCAAUGCACGAAAGUGUGACGGGGCUACCCCGAGUGCCGUCCGCUGAGGGCGGCUUUUCCCUGGUGUAAGGAGCCGGGGGAAUAAGGAGAGGGCAAGCCUGGUGUCAGCCGCCGCGGUAAUACCAGCUCUCCGAGUGGUAGGGAUGAUUAUUGGGCUUAAAGCGUCCGUAGCCGGCUUGACAAGUCUUCUGUUAAAUCCAGCAACCCAAUUGUUGGACUGCGGGAGAUACUGCCUAGCUAGAGAACGGGAGAAGCCGACGGUACUCUCAGGGUAGGAGUGAAAUCCUAUAAUCCUGGGAGGACCACCAGUGGCGUAGGCUGUCGGCUAGAACGUGUCUGACGGUGAGGAACGAAAGCUUGGGGAGCGAACCGGAUUAGAUACCCGGGUAGUCCAAGCUGUAAACGAUGCGGGCUAGGUGUUGGGGUGGCUACGUGCCACUUCAGUGCCGCAGGGAAGCCGUUAAGCCCGCCGCCUGGGGGAGUACGGUCGCAAGGCUGAAACUUAAAGGAAUUGGCGGGGGAGCACCACAAGGGGUGAAGCUUGCGGUUUAAUUGGAGUCAACGCCGGG
rnacentral:rRNA from 1 species